CGGAAAAGGAGGGAGAAAAAAGAAAAAAUGAACGGCCUCUUCUGGAAUUGUAGAGGAGCAGGUAAAAGAGGGAGAGCUACCUGCUUCUCUGACAUUAUUAGAGAUCACUCUCUCGACUUUUUAGGUAUCCUUGAAACUAAGAAGGAGAAUUUUGCACCUAAAUACCUGAGAAAAGUGGAUCCCUUUGAUAGAUUUACAUGGAAUUGGUCCCCUUCCAGUGGUAAGUCUGGUGACAUACUUUGUGGU
rnacentral:rRNA from 1 species